UACGUAGGGUGCAAGCGUUGUCCGGAAUUAUUGGGCGUAAAGAGCUCGUAGGCGGUUUGUCGCGUCGAAUGUGAAAACCCGGGGCUCAACCCCGGGCCUGCAUUCGAUACGGGCAGACUAGAGUUCGGUAGGGGAGAUCGGAAUUCCUGGUGUAGCGGUGAAAUGCGCAGAUAUCAGGAGGAACACCGGUGGCGAAGGCGGCUUACUGGUCCGGUUCUGACGCUGAGGCGCGAAAGCGUGGGGAGCAAACAGG
rnacentral:rRNA from 1 species